GCCCCCAGAGAUGUGACAGGGAUGUGCUGGAGGUUGAGGUGUGGCUUUACGUAUAAAUAGCGGCAGGUGACACCAGCAUUUGUAGAUCGUCUCCUCAAAGCGAGGAGGAUCAGUGUGGAUUCUUGCAUUUUGGGAUCUGAAGUUCUGAAAUGUAUAGACCCAGGCAAGACUGCCAUGGACAUGGCGGCGGCCAUGGGCAUGGUGGUGGCCACGGGCACGGAGGAGGACACGGACACGGAGUUGGAGGCGCACACGUUAUUAGAGGGGUAGCGAGACGUCGCCGCAGACGCCACAGACGUGGACACAGGCACAAGAAAUGCCACAAGAAGGGAAGGGAAUGCCACGGAUCGUCCAGCAGCUCCUGCAGCAGCAGCGACUCCGACUAAAUGAAAGAUGAAAGAAGAAGUGAAAAUCUUCUUCCACAUCACACAAAAAAAAGCCUGUUUGUGUGUUUGUUUUGGAGCCUGAUGUUUGCUUUGAUUCUGCAGUGUUUGUCUAAGACGUGUGAGCAGGCUUUUGUCGGAUCACAUGCCGCAAACCACACAGCGCACUAAAUAAACAAACUCUUCCACUGUUGCGGUGUCUCGUUUGUGUUUCUUUUGUACAUCCCGCCCUCACAUUCGAUUGGUCUGUGUCACUUUUAAUCCCGUCUCCAUCUCACUUUAUUACCGCGACAUCUGUGGGGUUCAAGUUUGUUACAUUUAAAUGGUUUUUAUUGAACAUUCACGCGCUUUGGUCGACUCAGCCUUCAGUCAAACACUUCUAUAUUAUUACUGUAAUACCUGCAAAAAUGCUCUGCAGCCGAUACACACAAUGCACAAUACAGAACAGAGCAAUAACGACAAUACACAAUGCAGGAUGCAGAGAUCACACAAACCCACUAUUCAAGUUUAUGGAUCUGGUUAAAUUCAAAACAGGAAUAAUGUAUUACCAAAAAAAUAUAUACAGGCAGUGUUUACAGAGAGGGAGGGAGGAUGUAACCUAAGGAGAGACCUACAUUACAAAAACAAACAGAACAAAGGAACGAAGAUGAAAAGCUGUGUGGUGACUUUGUGGAACAGUUUGGAGAUAAAACAAAGGAUGAAGUAAAUGUAGCAGGAAGUGUGUUAACUGUGAAGGUGAUGAGGCAUAUAAAUAAAAAUGACUGUUAUAUUGUAUUGACUCAGCAUUUAAUUUAUGCAGCGUAUAUGCGUAUAUAUUAUCUAUUUAUAUGAAUAUUUAUGCAGUACGUAUAUAUGUAUGGGUAGUAUAUUUAAAAGUGUUAUAUCUUUAUAUAAAAUAAAGUGUUUUUCCUUCUUCCUUUUUUGAACAGAUGUUUUGCCAGUGUUGCAGUAGCUUCCUGUUCCAGACGCAGACGUCUCCAUCAGGUCUCUCUUCUGGUG